UGGGGAAUAUUGGACAAUGGGGGCAACCCUGAUCCAGCAAUACCGCGUGUGUGAAGAAGGCCUGCGGGUUGUAAAGCACUUUCAGUAGAGAAGAAAAGCUUAGGGUUAAUACCCCUGAGUCUUGACGUAACCUACAGAAGAAGCACCGGCUAACUCCGUGCCAGCAGCCGCGGUAAUACGGAGGGUGCAAGCGUUAAUCGGAAUUACUGGGCGUAAAGCGCGCGUAGGCGGUCUGGUCAGUCGGAUGUGAAAGCCCCGGGCUUAACCUGGGAAUUGCAUUCGAUACUGCCAGACUAGAAUGUUGGAGAGGGAAGUGGAAUUUCCGGUGUAGCGGUGAAAUGCGUAGAUAUCGGAAGGAACACCAGUGGCGAAGGCGGCUUCCUGGCCAAACAUUGACGCUGAGGUGCGAAAGCGUGGGUAGCGAACAGGAUUAGAUACCCCGGUAGUCC
rnacentral:rRNA from 1 species